CUUUACUGAACAUUCUUGCUGCUUACAAUUAUUUCUAUCUAUAAUGAACUUGGCCCAGUAGUUUCAGUGGAAAAUAAUAGUAACAAGAGGCUGUCACAACGACAGCAAACCGGAUUUAUUAAUCUUUAUUUGUGUCCUGGCAAUAUCACAAGAACCAUUACUGAUGAAUGGUGAAAGUGAAAAUCGUCAAUAUCAAAUUUGACCUCCAUUUUGUCAUCAGUAUCAACAUAUUAAAAUUUGAAAAGCUUAGAUUGAAUGGUUCAUGAGUAAAUGCAACAACGUGAAUGGAAACGCCAUUUUACAAUCUUUCAAGAACCAUAACUCCUGAACGGUAAAAGUCAAAAUCGUCAUUAUUGAACUUGACCUCUAUUUUGUCAUCAGUAACAACAUAUAAAAAUUUCAAAAGCUUUG
rnacentral:lncRNA from 1 species